GAGCCGUACAUUUCCCAGAUCCGAAUAGGACCAAAGCGCUGCUGGAAGUUCUUCCACACAUCAGCCCGGAGUCCAUUGCCCAUCGCCAGGCGGACUGUGUGUGUCCGGUCUUCUUGUCGCUACAGGAAUGUCCCCAGAAAGCUCUACCCUGACACUUACUCCAGUGGUCCUGUAGACUGGAGGGAUCCUCAGAGGUGGGCUUACCAAGAUCCAAGCAGCCGAGGAACCCAAGGACAAGUCCUAUCACGUGGUACAGAGGCAGGACCGUGUAAACCACAUCAUCAGCUGUGGCCCCACACAAGGACAGCAUCUUGCUCAUCUGCAGUACCCGCUCAUGCGUGAGGAUGGCUGGCUUCGGGAGGCCUUGGGGCGAAGGCACGACAAGGGUAGUUGCGGUGAAAUUACAGCACAGAGAGGGGCCUGACCAGAGGGACGGAUCUCCAGCAGCCAGGCCUGCACUGGGCUUUGAGGCUCACGGAGAGCAGUCAAGUGUAAGUAUUUGCAGUUGGGUUCACAGGCUGAAUCUGAACUGAGAGCAGUGUGUCAAGACCAAGGGUUUCAGUGGCUGUUUACCGGACACAGGAAGAAUUCUGGCAUUGACCGCUCAAAUUACAUUGGGGGUCAGAGUUCAGGCCAAAUGUCAAAAUCAAGGUUGGGCACAGUGGCUCAUUCCUGAAUUCCCAGCAUUUUGGGAGGUUGAGGCGGGCAGAUCACCUGAGGUCAGGAGUUUGAGACCAGCCUGGCCAACUUGGCAAACCCCUAUCUCUUCUAAAAAUACAAAAAUUACCCAGGCAUGGUGACACAUGCCUGUAGUCCCAGCUACUCAGGAGGCUGAGGCAGGAGAAUUGCUUGAACCCGGGAGGUGGAGCUUGCAGUGAGCUGAGAUCACACCACUGCCCUCCAGCCUGGCCAACAGAGAGACUCUAUCUCAAAAAAAAAAACAGAGGGUAAAGUGGUUUCAGAGGUCAACACAGAGGCACAGGUCACGUGUGGGUUCAGGUCAGCCUGAGAGUUCAGAGGCUGGUGCUAGGGCUGAUGGGCACCCUCACCAGUGGUCCCUGAGGUGUAGAUGAAGAGGGCAGGGCUUCGCCGUGUGAUCCCAGCACGCAGGUCAGCAGGCACUGGGUGGGAGGGCGCCGCAUCCAGGGCAGCUCCCAGAGUCCCCACCCCUGGUGUAGGGGAGGUAUGGCUGAGGUAGAAGCAGCGGAUGUUCUCAGCCUGCAGCUUGGGAAGGAUCUCCUCCAGACUCUCCCAGAGGUCUGCAGGGAUGGGUCAGAGGAGAAAGAGAGGCAAGGCUUACCUUAGAGUUCACGAGGCAGGAUCUGACACCCACAGACAUAGGCAGAGGAGCAGCUCGCAGACAAAAACGUCCAUAUUGUUUGGUAAAGAAUCCCAUCAUUAAUUAUUUUCGGUCAAAAAGGAUUGAAAUAGCAUUGUGGGAAAAUUAACCUCUGGUGACCUG